AAGCAUUUUUGUAGGGGGAUCAAGUUAAUGAAGCCAGUAUCUUUGAGAACUUAGAAAAAUAGAUGGCUAACAUGGACUUUGGGUUGGGUUUCUUAAUUUUUUGGAAAUUUUUCUUCAUAGUAUUAGCCUGAAUACUGUAUCUCUUAAACCAAAGAAACAAAGAAGCCAGAUUUUUGUCUCUACCACCCCAUUCCCUUCUCUAGGAUUGAAAUGUCAAAAGAUGCCCUUCCUGAGAAGGCCUGUCAGUUGGACAGUCGCUAUUGGAGAAUAACAAAUGCUAAGGGUGACGUGGAAGAAGUCCAAGGACCUGGAGUAGUUGGUAUGGAACCCAAGAUUUAGGUUUAUACAUUAAUAAAUCUCAUUUUUAGGGUUACCUUAUGGCAAGUGUAACAGUAACUCCAACCUUAGAGACUAUAACAUGAUUAAAGAAAACUAUGAAGCUCCAGUUAUACAAUGGGGAUAAAAUAUUGGAUUGUUUGGGUUUGCUUUGUGUUUUUGAGGUAGAGGAAGAAAUGGGAAUCUUUUUUUUCUCUUCCAGGAGUCAGUGGAAGAAUAGUUCUCUAGCUAAGGGACGGACAUACCUUUGUUUUAAAAUAUUUUAUACUUACAAAAAUCUAGAAAUGGAGAGGGAACUGUUUUGAAUAAGGAUUUAAAAUACCUGCACAAGGAUAGAGAGAAACUAUGUGACUCAUUCUGUGAAAAGACUUCUUGCAGUUGUGAGUUAUUUAGAAAUGAUCAAAACUUGUAAUUAGGCUAAUCCAUUUAGUGAUUCCUAAUAUUUUGUACUCACAGAGAACUAAUUGACUAAACAACUUGAACGGUAGUGGUUUGUCCUUAGACAAUCUGUCUUUGAA
rnacentral:lncRNA from 1 species